UGGGGAAUUUUGGACAAUGGGGGAAACCCUGAUCCAGCCAUCCCGCGUGUGCGAUGAAGGCCUUCGGGUUGUAAAGCACUUUUGGCAGGAAAGAAACGUCAUGGGUUAAUACCCCGUGAAACUGACGGUACCUGCAGAAUAAGCACCGGCUAACUUCGUGCCAGCAGCCGCGGUAAUACGUAGGGUGCAAGCGUUAAUCGGAAUUACUGGGCGUAAAGCGUGCGCAGGCGGUUCGGAAAGAAAGAUGUGAAAUCCCAGAGCUCAACUUUGGAACUGCAUUUUUAACUACCGGGCUAGAGUGUGUCAGAGGGAGGUGGAAUUCCGCGUGUAGCAGUGAAAUGCGUAGAUAUGCGGAGGAACACCGAUGGCGAAGGCAGCCUCCUGGGAUAACACUGACGCUCAUGCACGAAAGCGUGGGGAGCAAACAGG
rnacentral:rRNA from 1 species